CCCUUCAGGGUCUAAUUUCUACCAGGAAUAGUAGCUCUGGGCGGGCCACACAUUCUGACCUCUUAAAGCUUGCUUUUAUUUUUCUUUUAUUUUCCCUACAUAACUCUGGGUGGAGGUGUUCAGGAAUCUCCUUCUGACACCUUUCUUUCCAAGUCAAACACACUCAGGACUUGCAAACCUUGACAGGGUUGAUAAAUGCCUGACCAUUUUGCUGCAUCAUGAGCCAGCAGACUUGGGGACAGAGAAGGAUCCCACAGGACUGAAAAUUUUCACCUUUUGCUCAAGCCCAAGGUUCCCUUUCGUUCGCCUCCCAUGAAGACAGAUGUUAUGGCUUCCAUUUCUCUCUCAACGGGUUAGAUGUGAGCUUCCCUGGUGAAUAAAAAACAAAUUGGGAAAGUUUUUAAUGCGGGUUCCCAUUUCAGA